UGAAAACCUUAUCGCACCUUACCCAUGGAUUUUUGUUGUCACCUUCCGCGCCUCCCCAAAGGAAAUCCUUCUUAAUUCUUUUGCAUUUUUGAAGGACCCUUGAAGACAUUCUACAUAAAGAAAGAUAAUAUAAAGGAAGUGAUGAAAAGACACUUUUAAUCAAACACAUACUACCUCCAAUAUAUAAAGUCUUGCGACUCCAACUAGACAACUUUUUUCGAAGCUUUAAUAUAUCGCAAAACGACAAUCUUCUCGGGUUUCCUCCAACCAGAUGCCAAGAUAUACAAAUGGAGUAGACAUAAUACCCAUUCAUCUAGAGUCCCUUGCCUUAGAGUUGUGUGAGCCAGAUCACGUUCAAAGCCCUCCACCUAUUCCUUCUCUCUUUUGCACAAAUCCUUGCUCCAUGUGAGAUUCCACAACCGUUUUCCAUCAAGCUAGGAACCCAUGUCUUUCUGAUUGACACUCAGCUAUUUCUGAUUAGAUAACCUGAUGAAAAGUCUAUUGUAAAUGUUUACAAGUGGUUCCCCUAUCACCCAAGGGUCAUGCCAAAAGCUUACCAUCCUUCCAUCUCCAAAUUUCCUUCUUAAUUAUGGCAUUGUCAAAACAUCUAGCAGCCAGUGCUACCCAAAUAUUUGAAUGAAGUAUUUAAUUUGCUACCCUGCAUGCAGUUCAACAUAUCAACCAGUGUCUGUGAGUGAAUUGAUAGUCAUACAACAUAUCAACCAGAGGCAAGUUAGAACCACUGCAUGAUGCAUUUUAAAGCGAAAACUUUUUGCAAUGUGGCCUCCCCUGCAAAUAAGGUGUCAUCUACAAAUUCUAAAACUGAGAUAUCGACAUCAUUAUUAUCCCCAUAAUGAUACCCUUCAAAUUUGUGGAGCUGGACUCAUUCAAGCUCUCCGCCCCAAUAAGGUAUUGAAUCGUUUCAUCGGAGACCCCUUUCCAUUCCAAACUCCCCACUAGGAUUCCCAUUAACGAGUACUGAUACCCUUGCAAAUUCUAAGCAACCUUUGAUCCACUCAAAUCCAGCUCACUGAAUUCGUUAUCCGCGUAGUAUUAGUUAGCAAAUUAACAUGUAAAUAUAAAGGUCGUGUUUCGGUACGUUAAACGUACAAGACUUCAAAACACCCGACUUUGGUGUAUAUUAAAAAUAUAACCAUAAGAAAAUAUAACCAUAAGAAAACAUAACCAAUAGCUAGAGAAAACACAUUGUUUCGUGCAAUUCAAUCAUAUGUCAAACACUACUUGAGGUGAGUGCGCUUGUUAUUCGUAAAAUUAGUAUAUGAUCAAGUGGUCCAAGACUAACGUUUUGUUUUGUCUUUGGGACACAUUAUAUAAUAUUUGUACUGUAAUUGGUCUGGAAUAUGCUGGAAUUAGUGCCGAAAUUUAUGACAAAGAUUACGGUACUCGAGUUGCGUGGAUGUUAGAGUUUCAUAAUUUAUUUGAAAUUUAAGUACAGCUCAAUUUGCAGAAUUUAACUAUUUGAGAAAGAAUUUGUGUAAAUAAUUCGUCCCAAAUGAUAGUUAAGUAAUAAGAAUGGUGUAACAUAUGAGUUUUGAAGAGAAGUUCCAGAGAUCAAUCUUUAAAGAGUUUUAAUUUAUUUUUGAUGUACC
rnacentral:lncRNA from 1 species